AGCCACAGCUGCAAUCUGCCGGGUGCAGUGCACAAUGACCUUGCACGGCCUCCUGCUGGAACGUCGCAAGAACCGAGUCCCUUCUCGGUGCCGGUGUGCGAGAUAAGCGUGCAGCUAGCACCAUCAUCAGUGCACCGUCAUCACAGUCACAGUGGCAGCAGAAGCCAGCAGGGGAGGCUGGCGCCCUGGGGGAAGAAGGCUCUAACCCAGGUGCUGGGCCACCAGCCUGCAACAGGCACUCAGGCUGGGCAGGUCUGUAACUCAGCCUGCUCCUCCCUGGCUCCCCUGCCCACUCCAGCCGCGGCACAGGCUGCUGUCCCUGCAGGAAGGACAGGGCUGGGCUCACGGACGCGCUUGGAGGAAAAGCCGCGCUCUCGGUCGUAUCUCUGCAUGGACGCAGGUCUACAGUUCGUAGCAAAUGACCUCGGAAAGGCCAAAGCCUCGCCUCUCCAGGAAGCCAACCUGGAACCGGAGCCCAAGCUUCAGGAGUCGUCCUUCUUCCCCCAGACUGAGCUCGGAGGCAGGACCCGGUGUUCACAGCUGGUCCGGUUCGCUCUUUGUUCCCCAUCACGGUGGUUUUAUGACUCAUCUGAAAUAGCCCUGGAUUCGCUGCUCACUGGUCUCUGUCUGCAACCAAGUUGGCGUCUAUGUUCCACCUCGCUUAGGUUUAUUUUUGAAUAUACGGAAUAUUAAUAUGCCCCCUGAAGUACAGAGGUGUGUGGGAAGUCGAGGUCGUGUGGUCCCUGGCUGGUCCUCCCUCACCCAUGCCCUUUGCACUCCUUCUGGGUAACCGAGUUCUUUGUUUUCUUGUAUGUACUUCCUGCCUUUCUUUUCUUCUGUAAAAAUAGUGAAUCUAUGCAUUUUCUUCCAUUUUUUCCUAUAAAAGGUAGGGUACCACAGACACACUUUUGUAUUUCACAUUUUUUUCUUUUAGUAGUGUAUCCUGGAAGUCAUGCCAAAUCAGUUUAUAAAAUAUUUUUUUUUACUUAGCUGCAUAGUACUCUGUGUAUAUGAACGGUAUCUUAGUCAGUUAGUGCCAUUUGCUACCAAAAAAACCCCACGCACAUGUGUAUUUUCAUAUGCUUGAUCAUCUAUUUUUAAGUAGAUUCCUAGAAUGGAAUUGCUGGCUGGUGGAGAAACACAUAGUUUUGCCAGAUAUAAAAAAUUCCUUUUUUUUUUUUUGAGACAGGGUCUCACUAUAUAGUUCAGGCUGGCCUCAAAUCUCAGCAAUCCUCCUGCCUCAGCCUCUGGAGCACUAGGAUUACAGGCAUGCACCACCACGCUUGGCAGCAAAUUCCCUUGUAUGGAUUAUGUUUCUCCAUGGACUGCUCUGACAGAAUGUAUCAUCAUUUUGUCAGUCUCAUGGGUCAGAAAUAGUACCUCAGGGUAGUUUAAUUUGCAUUUUGCUUAUUAUGAAUGAACCUGGACACCUUUAAAACAUCAUUGUGAACUUUAGUAAAGUGUAAUGCAAAUCCCAUAAAUUGUGUAUGUUUAAAGUAUAAAAUUGGAGCGGUGCAUAAACCACUGGCACAGUUAUAUGAACUGGAGGGGAGAUUAGAGGGGCAUAAACACCCAGGGCAGACAGGGCUGACUACCCCCGUGAAAGCAUCACGCGGCCGGCGAGGCUGACAACUGUAAGAUCUUCACACGCUUAUCAUGUACCGUGUGCUGUGUCCUUCCAGAAGUGCUACCCACAUUGGCUGUGUCCCGGCCUGGUCCCCCUCACAGAAACACAGGCCCAGGCCCGGAUGGCCCAGCCCACACCAAUCUCCAGAACGGACAAACCAGCCUUCCCCAUAAGCCUGGGGACGUCUUAGACUCACCCGUGUCUCGGGCGGGGACCCCAACCUAUAGCAUCGCUCUGCUGCUCAAGCAGCUUCUCUUCUUUUUCCUCCACAUUUCCAACACUUUGGUUGCUUUUUUUUCUUUUUUGAGACAGGGUCUCGCUAUGCAGUUCAGGCUGGCCUUGAGCUCCCGACGAUCCUCCUGCCUCAGCCUCCUGAGUGCUGGGAUUACAGUGUGUGCCACCAGCUCAGCUUUACCAGAUGUUUUAAAAUUGGUAAAUAAUCACCAACCAUAAUUAUCUGACUGUGCUACAGAGCAUCAGAAAUUAUUUGUCUUUUCCAAUCUGAUCUGCUUUUAACUUUUUUUUAUUUUAAAGAGAAAAAAACAAGAUAAUUGGAGGGACCCGGGCAUAGUAACAAAAGCCUGUAAUCCCAGGAGACUGAAGCAGGAGGGUUGUUGCAAGUUUGAGAUCAGCCUUGGCUACAAUGUGAGCUCAAGGCCAGCCUGAUUUGCAUAGUGAGACCCUGUUUUAAAAAGACCAAAUAAAUCAAAUAAUAGGAGGGUAACAAUGAUUAAUACAUUGUGCAUUGUUAUCUUUAAAUUAGUUACUCAGAGUAUAAGAUAUAGGCAUUUAAUUGUCCAGACAAUAUUAGCACAAGCCUUUCUUUUCAGUAAACUAAGAGAUAUUAGUAGUACAAAUAUCUUAACUACCAUUUGGUUGGUUUUUUUUUUUUCUUUUCCCUUCCUUCUUUUCUCCUUUCUCCCAUCCCAGUUUUUUUUUCCUUUUGAAUAUUUUCUUUCCAUUUCCCAAUAUCUGUUCUACAGUUUGGAUCUUAUUCACUCUUUUAGUUUCUCACACUAGUGAGACAAUACAAUGUUUACACAUGUGCAUCUGGUUUAUUUCACUUACGAAUAUGAUCUUGAGUUAUAUCCAUUUACCUAUAAAAGUCUCCAGUUUAUCCUUCUAUAUGGCUGAGUAGUACUCCAUUGUAUAAAAAUAUCACAUUUUUUUUAUCCAUUCCUCAGUUGAUGGGCAUCUCGGUUGUUUCCAAGAUUUAGCUAUGACAAAUUGUGCUGCUGUAAACAUGGGUGCACAUCCAUCGCUGUGGUACGAUGUUUUUAAUUCUUCUGGGAAAACACCCAGAAGGGUGCUUUAACUUUCUAGACUUGUAUAAAAGUAAAAUCAUACCACAUGUACUCUGUAGUCCGGGUUCUUUUGGCAGAGUGGCUUUGAGAUUCACCCACACUGCUGCAUGCAGUGUGACUUGGCCCUUUUAAUUGCUGAUAGAAUCCUGUUUUGUGGAUACACCACGUUCUCUUUCUUUUUUCACUUGAUAAUGCUUUUUCUGGCUUGGGAAUACUGCAGAUAAAGUUACUUUGAACAUUUGAGUGCAUGUCUUCAUGUGGACUUCCAUUUUUUUGUCCAUUUGGUAAAUGAACCUGUAAGAAGAAUGAACGAUGAAUGAAACUGAGCAUCUUUCGAAAGGUAUUUUUAAACUUCUCUUUUGCACUUAUCCACACGCCUUUUCUCUGUUUCUCUAUAAAAUUUCAGCCUCUAUUUCUGAAGUUCUUAUGUUGGGAAUACACGCCAGACUCAGUUUGUUGGUGCAGAUAAUAAAGCACUCAGACACCAAGAAAUCUCAACAAGGCUUUUUACUUCUACAGAAGGGAAC
rnacentral:lncRNA from 1 species